CUGUUGACAUGGGGAGAGAAGAGCGGGUCUGACUCGGAAAUGACGCCAUAAUGCUGAGGAGCCACUCCUGGCGUUGCGGAAGGUGGGGUAUGGGGCCGGAAGACCCUCCCCCCGCGUCUUCAGAGGAGCGCUGUUUUUGGAGGAGUUAGGGGAAGGAGGCUGCCUGGUAAGCCACGAAAGGGGCUUCUGGCCGUUCUGUUGGAGCGCCUCUGACUGACUUCCCCCAUGUGUCCGUGUGGCCACACCGUGCUACUUUCAGAGGCAGUGGGCUUUUCGCUAAGGGAUAAAAAGAAGUAAAACCUUGCUUUUAGCGCAGCUCUCCUUCACUGGGCAGAUUGCUCUCCCUCCCCACUCUCCCAGGCCCAAAUUGGAUCUCAGCGCCUGGGAGCUCCAACUUUAGCAAGUGCGAAAUCCUGUCUUCGGUUUUGGAAUUUUCAUCCGCACAGACUAUAUCAGCCACGGAUAGGAUAUGUGAGAAUACCAGCAUGUCAAGGCUGGGAAUCAUCCUUAGGCAUCACCUAGCCAGUCCUGCCUCUCAUUUUAAGGUGAUCACAGGAUCUGGUUUGCCACUGAAAGGAAUCUUGAUGCUGACCACUUCACCUCGGAGAGCAUGAACUGCUCCCAUGCCUUCAAGAGUUUUAGGUAAGUGUAUCUUAGCUGGAACUGUAUCAGAAAAAAAAAAGAAUAUAAUUUAGCAACAUCUAACAGUAUGUGUUUAAGUGCAAUAGCCUCCACCCCCAAGUUAAUAACUCAUUUAGCCUCAAAUUGAUGAUGAUUUAUUUAUUUUUACCUUCCACUUCCAAGGAGGCAGUGCCAGACACAGAUCCCCCUUGGUUGGUAGCUCUGACUUGGUAAACUGUGGCAUCAUCAUCUGUGACACUUGCAAUGAUGAGCUGGUGGUAGCCACCCUUAAAUUCUUGAAUCCUAUAUUUUAAUCCAUCUGCAAUGAUUUCUUUGCCUUGUCUGUACCAUUUCACGAUAGGUUUUGGAUGACCAGUCACUUUGCAGACCAAGGUAGCAUUGCUCUGAUAUCUGACAUUUAGAUUUCUCAGUUCCUCUUUAAAGUGUGGUGCCUGAAUUGGGACAUCAGAUUUGGGAGUGAUGGGUUCUGAUAUUUCACUCCAUUCACUUUCCCCACCUAGAUUUUCACAUUUCACACGAAACUCAUAUUCAAGACCUUCAAUAAGGUUUUUCACUGAAAAGACAGUUUCUCGAAUUUCUUCUGUUGUCACAGAAAUCCAUUUAUUCUGCUUCUUCUCACGCUUCUCAAGGUAGUAAUUUCUAAUCUUUGCACCUCCAUCACUGGCAGGUGGCUUCCAGGCCACAACACAAGAAUCUUUUGUGACAGCAGUAAUAGUUGGUUUGCCAGGAGCACCUGGCUUUUCUAUUUUAAAAAAAAAAGAUUUGAGUCAUGAGAUGAAACAGGCAGCUUUAUUAAAGCUUAUUUUUUAAAAAAGAAUGUUAUAUGAGUCCAAAAUUUUAUUAAAAAAUAGCUAUUCCAGAAAAAUGAAAUUGGUUACUUUAUACUAAGACAUAUCAAAAACCAAAGUUCUAUUUUUAAAAUGGGGUUAGGAUAUAUAUUUCUCCUUUUAGAUAUGCAAACAUUCAAUUAAAGUGAAAGAAAAGGCACUUGUACUUUAUCUGAAUCUUUGCUAUUUCCUUUCAAAAUUUCUUUCUGUUUAAAAGAGUUUUAUGCAAAGAUGGAACUUUACCAUAGGAAGAUACAGAAAUCAAGUUGUACUCACCAAAUGGACUCUUAAUGAUCACAACUGAGGACACUUCUAGAGGGUCACUGAUGCCGAAAGUGUUCUGAGCUGAAACCCGGAAGUAAUAGCCAGCAUUUUCUGUGAGGUUCACAAUUCUACAGGUUGUCACUGAGAUGGCUGAAGACACCAAUUGCCAUUCAGCCCCCUCCUUGGCCUCACAUUUUUCCACCACAUAGUUGGUGAUCCAGGAGCCUCCGUCAUCUGCGGGUGGUUUCCAGCUGAUCACUGCGGAGUUCUUCAAUAGAGCUUCGAUCACAAUUGGUCCUGUAGGUUUGUCUGGUUUAUCUGUUGGGGGAAAAUACAAUUGUGGUGGUUUUCAUAGUGUGUUUUUGAGAUUUUUUUUUUCUUUAAAAAUAAAAAGCACUGAAAAUAAAAAUAAAAUACCUUGUAUUUCCACAUCAAGGAUGGCAUCAACUGUUCCAAAAACAUUGCUGAGCUGGACUUUGUAUUUCCCAGCAUGAGUCUUACGUUGGACAUUCUUCAUGACAAGAUGAGUAUAGUGCUCAGUGUUUUCAAUAGUAAUGUUUUCUGAGUUUUGCAAAAGUUUCUGACCAUGGAACCAAGUCAUGGCAGGUACUGGACGACCAAUGUACAUAACAUGAAGCCGAAGUGUCGAACCCACAGCUCCAUAAUAUUUCUCUUUCAGUGGGUAACCAGGAUGGAACUGCGGUGUUGCUUGCAGGAGAAGCUUACUACUGGUUUCUACUUCUCCAACCUCAUUGGUGGCUAUGCAGGUAUAAACACCUUCAUCUUCCUGUUCCUCUGUCAUUACUGUAAGAGUGUGUGUGCGUCCAUCUGAAGACAUUUUGUAUUUCCGGCUUUGUAUGAGCUCUUUACCAAAUCUGUACCAUUUAAUGUCAGGAAGAGGCCUUCCAACAAUCUGGCAUGAGAGUUGAGCAGCUUCACCCAAUUUUGUGGUAACAUCCUUCAUUUCUUUGCGUAUUCCUGGGGCCUCUCCAGCUGAACAAUAUGAAAGAUAAUAUUAAGUGACUGUUAAUACUCAAUCUGUAAUCCUUUGUCCUUGUAUAUCAGGAAUGAAUUUACCUUAUUUACUGACACAUACCAUGAUUUACAUAUUAGCCUAAUUCUUAAAAACUCUUUGAAGUGAUUUUCCUAGGAUCAUAUGGUAAAUAGGGAUUCAAUGAGCACAUCGUCACAUUUUAUGUAGUUUUUUUUCUCUUUAUGAUUGGAAGGGGAUUAAUAAUGUAUAGGCUUUUAAGGGACUAUACAUUCUCUCUAUAAUUCUGUAGUAUUCUUGCCCUUACUUAGGUUCAUUGAAGUGGCAUACAAUUGUUGACCUUUCAAAUCUUGUUGGGAAAUAUUUUUAAAAAGAAACCAUUGCAUUAGAGGGAAUUGCUCAAGGAAAGUGCUCAGUUCACUCCAUCUAACAUCUGCUGAGGUUAUGUGCUUGGAAUGGUUUCCUAUAGAACUUGUCAUAUUUCCUGUGUGUGUACUUGCUUUUCUUUCUUAACAUUUGCUCUCCAAUAAAGCUUUCCAGGGUUCUACUUAGUAUAGAGGGGGAAUUAGCCUUAACUUGUUUAGUUUGUAAAUCAUAAGUAGAGAACCAAAGGCUACUUACAUGUGAGUUUAGUCUUUAUAGACAUAGCAGUUCUGCGAGGUCUGCUCAGCCCAGUCUCAUUCUCAGCAAAAACCCUGAAUUCAUACUCAGUAGCUUCCAGCAAACCUCCUAUUGUGAAUUGCUUGUCCUUAAUACGUUCCUUAUUGCUCUUCUUCCAGGCACUGUCUCCAGACUGUCUAUAUUCAACCCAGUAUCCAAGAAUUUCUUUACCACCAUCACAUUCAGGUUUCUCCCACUGUAGAGUGACACUAUCUUUGGAUAUUGAAAGAAUCUCAAGUUCUCCUGGUUGGCUUGGUUUAUCUGAAAUAUUUUAAAAUAAUGAAAAGGGAGUCAGCUUUACUAGUGAAAUAAAAGGACCAAACAUG